rnacentral:piRNA from 1 species
UCCCACCUUCAGAGAGCUCAGAUCCCAUC